rnacentral:tRNA from 1 species
AUGGAAAAUUGCAUUUUUGGAAUUUGCAAUAAUGCGAUGGGCGAACGACGGGAAUUGAACCCGCGCAUGGUGGAUUCACAAUCCACUGCCUUGAUCCACUUGGCUACAUCCGCCCCUUAUCCAGCUAAAGGAUUGUUUGGAUUGUUUUCAGCAAACUAG